GUUUGCACUCAUCGGGGAAGGGUGAGAACCUUCGACUAAGGUUCGACUCGAGCGAAAGCGAGAGAACGUUGCCACAGGCAACGGCUCGAAGGGUGAGGAGCGAAGCGACGAAUAAUCCUUCCCCCACCACCA
rnacentral:sRNA from 1 species